AUUAAUAUGCUAGCGCUAGCUAAGGAGGAUGACAGGUUAUCAAUAUGCUAUAGGGAGGAUUACAUGGCAUUAAUAAGCUAGCGCUAGCUGGCUAGCUAAAGAUAAUUAGCAGGUGGCUAACAAGCAAACAAUUUAAAGCUGAAUGAUUUUAAUAUUAACACAAAAUAAGUUCAAUACACCUUAAAUAUUUUACCCUACUAUGAGCUGUUCCUUAAUUUACAUUAGCACUCCUUCAGGAGCAUAAUACAAU